CUUCUUCCAAUUCUAGGACCUGUGUCUAUUCAAUCAAAAUCUGCCUUUGAAAAGGUUGUGAUGCCAUAACAGAUUAGAUGGAGGGGAUCCAUAAGCUUCAUCAAGUUGCCAGAGUUAUGUCAUAAAAAAAGAAAGAUGAAGAACACUAUGCCAAAUAAAGGACUUUUUUUUUUAAAGGAGAAUAAGAUCUCAAGACUUUCUAGGAUGCUCAGAAACACUAGGUAGUAUUCUCUGCAAGAUUUCUGUAGGAAUAUGUGAAAAAAUUAUGAAUGAAAUAAAAUAAAUAAAAAAUA